rnacentral:rRNA from 1 species
GAUGAACGCUGGCGGCGUGCCUAAUACAUGCAAGUAGAACGCUGAAGGAGGAGCUUGCUCUUCUGGAUGAGUUGCGAACGGGUGAGUAACGCGUAGGUAACCUGCCUGGUAGCGGGGGAUAACUAUUGGAAACGAUAGCUAAUACCGCAUGACAACAGUUAUUGCAUGAUAACUGUUUAAAAGGGGCAACUGCUCCACUACCAGAUGGACCUGCGUUGUAUUAGCUAGUUGGUGAGGUAACGGCUCACCAAGGCGACGAUACAUAGCCGACCUGAGAGGGUGAUCGGCCACACUGGGACGGAGACACGGCCCAGACUCCUACGGGAGGCAGCAGUAGGGAAUCUUCGGCAAGGGACGGAAGUCUGACCGAGCAACGCCGCGUGAGUGAAGAAGGUUUUCGGAUCGUAAAGCUCUGUUGUAAGAGAAGAACGAGUGUGAGAGUGGAAAGUUCACACUGUGACGGUAGCUUACCAGAAAGGGACGGCUAACUACGUG